rnacentral:misc_RNA from 1 species
UGGGCUAGAAUGCCUCUGACAACCCUAGAGAUAGGGCCUCCAAGGUAAAACUUGGCAGAGUGCAAGGUGCUGCAUGGCUGUCGUCAGCUCGUGUCGUGAGAUGUUGGGUUAAGUCCCGCAACGAGCGCAACCCUUAUCUUUAGUUGCCAGCAUUAAGUUGGGCACUCUAGAGAGACUGCCGUUGACAAAACGGAGGAAGGUGGGGAUGACGUCCCAAGGUUGGU